rnacentral:rRNA from 1 species
UACAGAGGGUGCAAGCGUUAAUCGGAAUUACUGGGCGUAAAGCGUGCGUAGACGGUUAUGUAAGUCAGAUGUGAAAGCCCCGGGCUCAACCUGGGAAUUGCAUUUGAGACUGCAUAGCUAGGGUGCGGAAGAGGGAAGCGGAAUUUCCGGUGUAGCGGUAAAAUGCGUAGAUAUCGGAAGGAACACCAGUGGCGAAGGCGACGUCCUGGACCGGCAUUGACGCUGAGGCGCGAAAGCCAGGGGAGCAAACGGG